rnacentral:rRNA from 1 species
UACGAAGGGUGCAAGCGUUACUCGGAAUUACUGGGCGUAAAGCGUGCGUAGGCGGUUCGUUAAGUCUGAUGUGAAAGCCCCGGGCUCAACCUGGGAACUGCAUUGGAUACUGGCGAUCUGGAGUGCGGUAGAGGGUGGCGGAAUUCCCGGUGUAGCAGUGAAAUGCGUAGAUAUCGGGAGGAACAUCCGUGGCGAAGGCGGCCACCUGGACCAGCACUGACACUGAGGCACGAAAGCGUGGGGAGCAAACAGG